rnacentral:rRNA from 1 species
CCUACGGGCGGCUGCAGUGGGGAAUAUUGCACAAUGGGCGCAAGCCUGAUGCAGCCAUGCCGCGUGUGUGAAGAAGGCCUUCGGGUUGUAAAGCACUUUCAGCGGGGAGGAAGGCGGUGAGGUUAAUAACCUCAUCGAUUGACGUUACCCGCAGAAGAAGCACCGGCUAACUCCGUGCCAGCAGCCGCGGUAAUACGGAGGGUGCAAGCGUUAAUCGGAAUUACUGGGCGUAAAGCGCACGCAGGCGGUCUGUCAAGUCGGAUGUGAAAUCCCCGGGCUCAACCUGGGAACUGCAUUCGAAACUGGCAGGCUAGAGUCUUGUAGAGGGGGGUGGAAUUCCAGGUGUAGCGGUGAAAUGCGUAGAGAUCUGGAGGAAUACCGGUGGCGAAGGCGGCCCCCUGGACAAAGACUGACGCUCAGGUGCGAAAGCGUGGGGAGCAAACAGGAUUAGAUACCCGGGUAGUC